rnacentral:tRNA from 1 species
GAGGGUGUAGCUCAGUGGUAGAGCACAUGCUUAGCAUGCAAGAGGUCAUGGGUUUGAUCCCCAUACCUGCA